AUCAGAAUGGCCGUGCGGUUAAGGUCUUGGACACAAGAUCCAAUGGACAAAAGUCUUCGUGGGUCCAAACCCCACUCCUGUUA